CGGGAGCGACAGUCGUGCACCGGUGUUGGGGUCCAUCUAAUGCAUGUUCGGGCAAGGAUGAGGUGUCCUCAAUGCCCUCCUCGAUGCUUUCCAUAUCCGAGAGAGCCUAAGCAGUGCCCCGCUCACCACGACAGCCGGACGCGACGUGGGCAACGGACCAAGCUAGCUACAAGUUUCGCCUCGUGCCCCGCCAAACCGGGGGAGCACUAGACGAACGAGGGUCGCUGGGACAAAAACAAAUGCCAUCCAUCGUGCAG
rnacentral:misc_RNA from 1 species